rnacentral:lncRNA from 10 species
UCCUCCAGGUGCCUUGUGGACCAUGCUGAGGAAGGACAUAGGGAGCCAUGGAAGAGGUUAGGCAGAUGGCAGAGAGGUGGUCAUGAGAUAAGAUUUGCCUUUUACUUCCCUGGUCAUCCACUGUUAAGCCCCCAGAUAUGCCUGGCUCCUGAGACCCCCCCCAGGGGCUGCCCUCCUGUUUCAAGUCUCCACUUUAUCUCCCUUCAGGGCUGCCCAGGGAUUGCCAGGAGCUGUUCCAGGU